UGUGUGUGCGCGUCUCCAGUCGUGCGUGAGUUGUGCGUCGGCGGCGGUAUGAAUGGGCAGAGAAGGGUGUUCUCUCUCUCACACACGCCGUCACAGCUCUGGGAUGAGGAGUGCCAUCUACUCCACUACUCGUGUGCUGCGCUGCUGAGAGGAAACGAGGCGAAGAGAGGGGGAGAAAAGGAGCUUUAGAGUUUGCAACCAAGAAUAUCCGAAAAGGACAAGGUGACUCGUCCUGAAGCUGCUUUAGCACUGAACUAAAAAAAAAAAUCCUCACAUCAGCCAUCAGCCAUGGAGCAGAAGACAAAUGAGUGUCCCAACGCUACUUCUCCUCAGAAGCACAUGAAGAACAGGUCCAAAUCCACAGAGGAGAUGCAGCAGUCCAGAAAGGCAUUUUCCUCACAAAAGUCGCUGCCAGGCAGGCCAGAUCUGGACAAAGUGAAGGCAAGU